UUUUAUACCUACACCGCACUGCAGUUGCGGGCAGCGAACGAGACGGUGAUUUCUUUUGUCAAAUUGCCAAAAGACUGCAGGUCCGUUCAUAUACAGACGAUACGUUAAAUGUAGGUGGUAGGAAUUAUUUGCCUCCGUGCGUAGUCAAUUAUAUUGUAUAAACGAAGAUGAAACCAAGGAAUAGAACAACAUAAACUGAAAUAAAAUUGAAAAUCGUGUUGGACAAGGUUUUUCUUACAGAAAAAAGGGGGGGGACGGGGUUACAGGCACAAAAGGAACAUUAAAGAAGACUAUUUUCCUGCUAACCUUUUAUUAUUAUUAUUGUUGUUUUCGCUGUUGCUGUUGUUAUACCGUUUACUGCGCAAUAUAAAUGAACAGGUAUAUUGUCAGUGCAGAGACGGAGCCUGCAGAGAGAGUUUACGGAAAAUUAAUUGUAAGCCAUGAAUAACAUCGAAUAUCCUCAAAUGUGUCACGCGUCGUUCUCCUUCAUUCUGGCCGUGAAGGUCCUUGCUGUAAAACGGAAACGUCAAAAAAAAAAAAAAAAAGCAAUGAAUAACUAAAUAUACCAAUGAUUUGUGAA
rnacentral:lncRNA from 1 species